rnacentral:rRNA from 1 species
ACACUCCUACGGGAGGCAGCAGUGGGGAAUAUUGCACAAUGGGCGCAAGCCUGAUGCAGCCAUGCCGCGUGUAUGAAGAAGGCCUUCGGGUUGUAAAGUACUUUCAGCGGGGAGGAAGGCGAUAAGGUUAAUAACCUUGUCGAUUGACGUUACCCGCAGAAGAAGCACCGGCUAACUCCGUGCCAGCAGCCGCGGUAAUACGGAGGGUGCAAGCGUUAAUCGGAAUUACUGGGCGUAAAGCGCACGCAGGCGGUCUGUCAAGUCGGAUGUGAAAUCCCCGGGCUCAACCUGGGAACUGCAUUCGAAACUGGCAGGCUAGAGUCUUGUAGAGGGGGGUAGAAUUCCAGGUGUAGCGGUGAAAUGCGUAGAGAUCUGGAGGAAUACCGGUGGCGAAGGCGGCCCCCUGGACAAAGACUGACGCUCAGGUGCGAAAGCGUGGGGAGCAAACAGGAUUAGAUACCCGAGUAGUCCCAUGA